rnacentral:rRNA from 1 species
UAAUACGAAGGGGGCGAGCGUUGUUCGGAGUUACUGGGCGUAAAGGGCGCGUAGGCGGCGGACCAAGUUAGGCGUGAAAGCCCCGGGCUCAACCUGGGAAUAGCGCUUAAGACUGGUCUGCUCGAGUGCGGGAGAGGUGAGUGGAAUUCCCAGUGUAGAGGUGAAAUUCGUAGAUAUUGGGAAGAACACCAGUGGCGAAGGCGGCUCACUGGCCCGCAACUGACGCUGAGGCGCGAAAGCGUGGGGAGCAAACAGGAUUAGAUACCCUGGUAGUCCACGCUGUAAACGAUGAGUGCUAGACGUUGGGAGACUCGGUCUCUUGGUGUCGCAGCUAACGCAUGAAGCACUCCGCCUGGGGAGUACGGCCGCAAGGUUA